rnacentral:rRNA from 1 species
UACGUAGGGGGCAAGCGUUGUCCGGAUUUAUUGGGCGUAAAGAGCUCGUAGGUGGUUCGGUAAGUCAGGUGUGAAACCUCCAGGCUCAACCUGGAGACGCCACUUGAUACUGCUGUGACUGGAGUCCGGUAGGGGAGCGGUGGAAUUCCUGGUGUAGCGGUGAAAUGCGCAGAUAUCAGGAGGAACACCAGCGGCGAAGGCGGCGCUCUGGGCCGGUACUGACACUGAGGAGCGAAAGCGUGGGUAGCAAACAGG